rnacentral:rRNA from 1 species
UACAGAGGUCUCAAGCGUUGUUCGGAUUCAUUGGGCGUAAAGGGUGUGUAGGUGGCGCGCUAAGUCGGGGGUGAAAUUUCGGAGCUUAACUCCGAAACUGCAUUCGAUACUGGCGUGCUUGAGGACUGGAGAGGAGACUGGAAUUCAUGGUGUAGCAGUGAAAUGCGCAGAUAUCAGGAGGAACACCGGUGGCGAAGGCGGGUCUCUGGGCAACAACUGACGCUGAGGAGCGAAAGCGUGGGGAGCAAACAGG